rnacentral:rRNA from 1 species
UACGUAGGGCGCAAGCGUUAUCCGGAAUUAUUGGGCGUAAAGAGCUCGUAGGCGGUUUGUCGCGUCUGCCGUGAAAGUCCGGGGCUCAACUCCGGAUCUGCGGUGGGUACGGGCAGACUAGAGUGAUGUAGGGGAGACUGGAAUUCCUGGUGUAGCGGUGAAAUGCGCAGAUAUCAGGAGGAACACCGGUGGCGAAGGCGGGUCUCUGGGCCGUAACUGACGCUGAGGAGCGAAAGCGUGGGGAGCGAACAGG